rnacentral:tmRNA from 1 species
GGGGGUGAACUAGCUUCGACGGGAGAGGCUGAGGGCUUGUGGCAGGCGGUGGCGCUCAACCACCUUAAAAUGAGCAAAGGCAUAAAUGCCAACAACCACCAACCUGCUCUGGCUUACGCCGCCUAAGGCGAUUUAGUUAGAGUAGUUGGGCCAUAGCGUGCCCAACCGUCCGCCCAAUUCGUCACCGUCCGGGUUGAUCGGCGGGCGUCAUUAAAGACGGUGUGCGGUUCCCAUGACGCCGAUACGUGGGGCCAAAGAUGACAUCGGCUGGCUGGUGCUGUACCGUGUUGACCGGGCGACCAUCAGCGAGAGCGAAAUAGUCAACUAAGCCUGUAGAAGCAUGUCAUCGAAUCUUUCGGACCCGGAUGGCAGUGUCCGGCACCUCCA